AUUCUUCAUUUCUCAGCUUAAAUGCCACUUCAUCAGAGACGCCUUUUUCAAAAACUUUACCUAAGUUUUUAUUUGUUUUUCUUUUUUCCUGAGCUGAUAGGAAGACAACUCUGUUAUCUUUAGGAUUUCAGAUGCUUUUAGAAUCAAACCUGGAAAGGAUACAAAAAGCAGAAGCAAAACCAACAUUUGGGAGAAGAACAGAUUAAGACAGUAGCUUAUAUUGAAACAUCACUUCUCAUUUGCUGUUUGGACAAUGGUGAUGGAACUGCUGCUUUAUUGCCCACGGAGAAGCGAAGUGAAGAGUCUAAAGUGGGUCUUGCAGUUACACUGGACAAAAGAAGUUUGAAACUGAGGCUUGGUCCUGAAGAAAACAUAGAGAAGCCUGACAGAUUAUAUAUAUUCACAGCUUUGACUUAAAGGUUGCUGGUUGACCAAUAAGUAAUACAAGAAGAAAUGGUCUUUUCUGGAAUUGUCCUUCUUUCCAGGUAUCAAUGGUGAGCAGAAGAGGAGCAGGGAAUGAUGAAAGACCACACAUUCUCCAAAAGUCACUAAGCACUGUCUGCAGAUGGAACAUUCAUAUUUUCACAUAGUAUAAGUCAUAUGAUCUUUGAUCCUCCAUGUAUUGCUAUCCAGCCAUUUACUUUAGAAUGUCAGCCUUUAUACUGAUAUCACACACAUGUUGUAAAAUGUAGUGAAGAUAAACGGGUGAAGUUAAACUUACAAUGCUUUUGCUGUUAUCCAUAAAAAUGCAAUAGGUAUUGCAUAGAAUUAGUUACAAGCACAAAACUGUGAUACCCUAUAUGCCCCUGUUACAAGAAAGUUGUCAUUUUACAUUAUGGGUAUUUAUUCGAUAUUUUCAUAGUUUAAUUACUAACAAAGCAUUAAUAAUGCCAGAUUGUGCUGACAAACAUUGCAGUCUCUGAAUAGGAGAAAGAAUAUAUUCUUUGCACCAUUAUACAAUGAUUUAGAACUUUAAUAGUGUGCUGGGGAAAAAACAUGUAUCUGUAACCUGAAAUAGUUGUUUUACCUCCCUGAGUACAAAAUAUGUCACACAUUCUCUCCUAAAUGUAUUCUCUAUUUUUACCAGUCAUUUUGUUGCUAAAAUGUAAGAUAUGGGGAUGGGAUGUGGGUGAUUGUCUCCGUCCUUUUGGGCUUCUAUAACUAAAAUACCUUAGACUGGGUAAUUUAUAAACAACAGGAAUUUAUUUCUCACAGUUCUGGGGGCUGGAAAGUCCAAGAUCAAGGCUGUGGUGGGGUUUGGCUGGCGAGGGCUCCAUCCUUCUUGCUAUAUCUUCACAUGGUGGAAGGAGCAAACAAACUCCCCCAGCCCUCUUUUACAAGGGCACUAAUAUUAUUUGUGAGGGCUCCACUCUCAUGACUUAAUCACCUCCCCAAAGACCCUACUUCUUAAUACUAACACAUUGGGGAUUAAUCUUCAACAUAUGAAUUUUGGAGGAACACAAACAUUCAGACCAUAGCAAUGUUUAUUGGGGUGAAUGCUCAUUUAACUUUUCCCAGAACAAUCCCUGUUAAGUCUGCUAACCUCCUGUAGUUAAUGAUAAAAUUUCCUUCAUUUUCCGAAGUGUUCUUGUUUGGAUUAUAAAUUAUGUAAUUACCCUAAUGACAAUUAACUAGACAUUUUUUUUCUUACUGUAUAGCACCAGUAUGGGCAAUUGCAGUGGCUUUCAAACUUGACUACAACUCAGGGAGAAAUACAUUUUUCAUCAUAACGUAGUACACACACACACACACACACACACACACACACACGCACACACACACACACAUACACUAGAUAAAGCAAAAGCUUUAGGAAAUGGUACUUGGAUAUUUUCAAAUAUAUUUUAGUCUGUUUUUUAAUUAAAAAUCUCUAGUCAUGAUACAUUAAAUUGACUUAUUGACCCACAGCUUGAAAAAACACCAAUAUUUUGGAUGUGUUUUAAGGUCAUAGAACACGCCUUCUGAUUUUUUUCCUUCCCUAGGUAAUCCUAUGCAAGUUGCCAAUCUUCUCUAAACAACACUCUUCUUCAUCUAUAAAGUAAAUAUUAAUACCUACCUGAAGGUGGCAGAGAGAGUUAACUGAGAUAAUUUGGUUAAUGAGCCUGAAAUCUAGUCAACACUUACUAAAGGUAAUUUCUUCUCCUCUCUUCCGCUUCUAAACCAACAGGACACAGCUGAAGUUCACAGGUUUGUAAAAGUGAAAAAAUAUUUUUCUUAACCCCCUGACCUCUAAAGUUUGGUCAGAGUGUUUAGCCACUGAUAAAACAUCUUUAAGCACUGUUACUUCUAUGUUCAACUAAAAGAGUCACUUUUCAGUAAUUUCCGGUCAAGCCCAUCACAAUAGCACUUGCAGCUUCUCAAAAGAAAAGAAAGAAAGAGAGAGAAAGAAAGGAAGAAAGAGAAUUGAAGGAGGAAAGAAGGAAAAAAAUCAUGAUGAAGAUUUUAAAACAUGUCUUAUUGAGGGAUGGGAUGGUGAGGAAGUUGAUUAUAGUGAUGGAUGUGACAGACAGGGCCCGUACUUCUGUUUCUGUUCUCAAACUAACAGUUUUCACACAUAACCGUUUUCACACAUAACACAUUAGUAGAAUUUCUUUUGAAUAUUUGCCUUGGAAAUAAAACAAUAAUAAUAUA